UACAGAGGGUGCGAGCGUUAAUCGGAAUUACUGGGCGUAAAGCGCACGUAGGCGGCUUCUUAAGUCGGUGGUGAAAUCCUGGAGCUCAACUCCAGAACUGCCUUCGAUACUGGGAAGCUCGAGUCCGGGAGAGGUGAGUGGAACUGCGAGUGUAGAGGUGAAAUUCGUAGAUAUUCGCAAGAACACCAGUGGCGAAGGCGGCUCACUGGCCCGGUACUGACGCUGAGGUGCGAAAGCGUGGGGAGCAAACAGG
rnacentral:rRNA from 1 species